UGAGGAAUAUUGGUCAAUGGGCGAGAGCCUGAACCAGCCAAGUCGCGUGAAGGAAGACAGUCCUAAGGAUUGUAAACUUCUUUUAUACGGGAAUAACGGGCGAUACGAGUAUUGCAUUGAAUGUACCGUAAGAAUAAGCAUCGGCUAACUCCGUGCCAGCAGCCGCGGUAAUACGGAGGAUGCGAGCGUUAUCCGGAUUUAUUGGGUUUAAAGGGUGCGUAGGUUGUUCGGUAAGUCAGCGGUGAAACCUGAGCGCUCAACGUUCAGCCUGCCGUUGAAACUGCCGGGCUUGAGUUCAGUGGCGGCAGGCGGAAUUCGUGGUGUAGCGGUUAAAUGCAUAGAUAUCACGAGGAACUCCGAUUGCGAAGGCAGCUUGCCAUACUGCGACUGACACUGAAGCACGAAGGCGUGGGUAUCAAACAGG
rnacentral:rRNA from 1 species